AGGGGCUCGGCAUCGGGACCGGGACCCAGACUCGGGCAGAAAUCGAGAUCGCCAUCGAGCACGGGCCGUGUGGGCGGCUACUGGUGCCAAGGCCGGCGGGAGCGCCCGUCACCCCUCAGGGGGCGGGAUCGGAAGCGCCCUUCUCGCGGGAAGUGUGCGCCCUGCGCGGGGCAUUGUGGAAGCGCGGCGGCUAAGAUGGCGGAGGCCUUUGGGGAUGAGCUCUUCAGCGUGUUCGAGGAGGACGCGGCCGCCGCUGCUUCUGGCGCCAAGAAGAGCAAAACGGGCCCCGCCGAGGGUGCCAGGAGGCCGGGGAAAAGAUUGGAAGAAAAACCUUCAGUACCAGCCGCAAUAGUCAAGCCAAAAAGGGAGGCUGAGAUUGAUAGUACUGAAAAUGUCAUUUUGGGGAAAAAACCGAAAUUGGAAGAUGUUUUAUCAGAUGAUGUUAAUCUGACAGAUCUGAUGCCUCAGGUAAAGGUGCAGUCUGUGGAAACUGUUGAAGGUUGUACGCAUGAGGUUGCGCUUCCAGCAAAUGAAGAAUUCACAGGUCUGAAGCCAAGAACUGGAAAAGCUGCAAAAGAGUAUCCAUUUAUUCUUGAUGCCUUCCAGAGAGAAGCUAUUCUUUGUGUAGAUAAUAACCAGUCUGUGUUGGUGUCAGCUCACACAUCAGCUGGUAAAACUGUUUGUGCUGAGUAUGCAAUUGCCCUGGCUUUGAGGGAAAAGCAGCGUGUGAUAUUUACAAGUCCAAUUAAAGCUUUGAGUAACCAGAAGUACCGUGAGAUGUAUGAAGAAUUUCAGGAUGUUGGUUUGAUGACUGGGGAUGUCACCAUUAAUCCUACAGCAUCUUGUUUGGUAAUGACAACUGAGAUCUUGAGAAGUAUGCUUUACAGAGGUUCUGAGGUUAUGCGUGAAGUCGCAUGGGUUAUUUUUGAUGAAAUUCACUACAUGAGAGAUACAGAACGUGGUGUGGUUUGGGAAGAGACUAUUAUUUUGCUUCCUGAUAAUGUACAUUAUGUGUUCCUUUCUGCAACUAUUCCAAAUGCCCGUCAGUUUGCUGAAUGGAUCUGCCAUCUUCACAAACAGCCUUGCCAUGUGAUUUACACUGACUAUCGACCUACUCCACUGCAGCAUUAUAUAUUUCCAGCAGGAGGAGAUGGACUCCAUCUGGUUGUUGAUGAAAAUGGAGAUUUCAGAGAAGAUAAUUUUAAUACCGCAAUGCAGGUGCUUAGAGAUGCAGGAGACUUAGCAAAAGGGGAUCAGAAAGGAAGGAAAGGAGGAACAAAAGGUCCUUCAAAUGUUUUUAAGAUUGUGAAGAUGAUCAUGGAAAGGAAUUUCCAACCUGUGAUUAUUUUCAGCUUCAGUAAGAAAGACUGUGAAGCCUAUGCACUUCAGAUGACAAAGUUGGAUUUCAAUACAGAUGAAGAAAAAAAAAUGGUUGAAGAAGUCUUCAAUAAUGCAAUUGAUUGUCUCUCAGAUGAAGACAAAAAGCUUCCUCAGGUUGAACAUGUGCUUCCCCUUCUGAAGCGAGGAAUUGGUAUUCAUCAUGGUGGUUUGCUUCCUAUAUUAAAAGAAACCAUAGAAAUCCUUUUCUCAGAGGGCCUAAUAAAGGCCUUAUUUGCAACAGAGACUUUUGCUAUGGGAAUUAAUAUGCCAGCCAGAACUGUGCUGUUUACAAGUGCCAGUAAAUUUGAUGGAAAAGAUUUCCGAUGGAUAUCCUCAGGUGAAUACAUUCAAAUGUCAGGUCGCGCAGGACGCCGAGGUAUGGAUGACAGAGGAAUAGUAAUUCUUAUGGUGGAUGAAAAAAUGAGUCCAACCAUUGGCAAGCAGCUUUUGAAGGGUUCAGCUGAUCCCUUAAACAGUGCUUUCCACCUGACAUACAACAUGGUAUUGAACUUACUUCGAGUGGAGGAAAUUAACCCUGAAUACAUGUUAGAAAAAUCAUUUUAUCAGUUCCAGCAUUACAGAACUAUUCCAGAAAUAGUGGAAAGAGUCAAUAAUCUGGAAGCACAGUACAACAAAAUUGUAAUUCCCAAUGAAGAAAAUGUGGUGAUAUACUACAGAAUCCGCCAGCAGCUUGCAAAACUGGGUAAAGAUAUUGAAGAGUAUAUUCACAAACCAAAGUACUGCUUGCCCUUUCUACAGCCAGGAAGACUAGUAAAGGUGAAGAAUGAAGGUGAUGACUACGGAUGGGGAGUGGUUGUUAAUUUCUCUAAGAAAUCAAAUGUUAAGCCAAAUUCUGGUGAAUUGGACCCAUUGUAUGUAGUCGAAGUGCUCCUGCACUGCAGCAAAGACAGUUUGAAAAAUUCUGCUACUGAGUCUGCAAAGCCAGCCAGACCUGAUGAGAGAGGAGAGAUGCAGGUUGUUCCUGUUUUGGUGCAUCUUGUCUCAGCUAUCAGCAGUAUCCGCCUCUACAUACCAAAAGACCUGAGGCCUAUUGAUAACAGGCAAAGUGUGUUAAAAUCUGUACUGGAGGUACAGAGACGUUUUCCUGAUGGAGUACCCUUACUAGAUCCUAUUGAUGACAUGGGCAUCAAGGACCAAGGGUUGAAAAAAGUAAUCCAAAAAAUAGAGGCAUUUGAGCAUAGGAUGUAUUCACAUCCUCUUCACAACGAUCCAAACUUGGAAACCAUAUACAAACUUUGUGAAAAAAAAGCACAGAUUGCUAUGGAUAUUAAAGUAGCAAAGCGAGAAUUGAAGAAAGCCAGAACUGUCCUGCAAAUGGAUGAACUCAAAUGCCGCAAGCGUGUUUUGAGAAGACUGGGGUUUGCCACGUCUUCAGAUGUUAUUGAGAUGAAAGGACGGGUUGCUUGUGAAAUCAGCAGUGCUGAUGAACUACUCCUGACGGAAAUGAUGUUCAAUGGUCUCUUCAAUGAUUUGUCUGCAGAGCAGGCAACUGCACUACUCAGCUGUUUCGUGUUUCAAGAGAAUUCCAGUGAAAUGCCCAAACUGACUGAACAGUUGGCAGGACCACUUCGGCAAAUGCAGGAGUGUGCAAAAAGAAUCGCCAAAGUGUCAGCAGAAGCAAAACUGGAAACUGAUGAAGAAAAUUACUUGAAUUCUUUCAGACCCAACCUAAUGGAUGUUGUGUAUACAUGGGCAAAUGGAGCUAACUUUGCUCACAUCUGCAAAAUGACAGAUGUCUUUGAAGGCUGAACAACCCCAACUCUCUCAGCCUGUCCUCAAAGGAGACCUGUUCCAUCUCUGAUCAUCCUGGUGGCCCUCCUCUGGACUCGCUCCAACAGGUUGAUGUCCUUCCUGUGCUGGGGACCCCAGAGCUGGAUGCAGCACUGCAGGUAGCAUAAUUCGUUGCAUGAGGCGGCUAGAAGAACUGCUUCGGCAGAUGUGCCAGGCUGCAAAAGCCAUUGGGAACACAG